AGGUAAGCUACUAAGAGCGAAUGGUGGAUGCCUUGACUGGUAAAGGCGAUGAAGGACGUACUAGACUGCGAUAAGCUACGGGGAGCUGUCAAGAAGCUUUGAUCCAUAGAUUUCCGAAUGGGGCAACCCAAUGUAUAGAGAUAUACAUUACCUAUAUAGGAGCGAACGAGGGGAAUUGAAACAUCUUAGUACCCUCAGGAAAAGAAAUCAAUAGAGAUUGCGUCAGUAGCGGCGAGCGAAAGCGCAAGAGGGCAAACCCAGUGCUUGCACUGGGGGUUGUAGGACUGCAAUGUGCAAGAGCUGAGUUUAGCAGAACAUUCUGGAAAGUAUAGCCAUAGAGGGUGAUAGUCCCGUAUGCGAAAAACAAAGCUUAGCUAGCAGUAUCCUGAGUAGGGCGGGACACGAGGAAUCCUGUCUGAAUCCGGGUCGACCACGAUCCAACCCUAAAUACUAAUACCAGAUCGAUAGUGCACAAGUACCGUGAGGGAAAGGUGAAAAGAACUGAGGUGAUCAGAGUGAAAUAGAACCUGAAACCAUUUGCUUACAAUCAUUCAGAGCACUAUGUAGCAAUACAGUGUGAUGGACUGCCUUUUGCAUAAUGAGCCUGCGAGUUGUGGUGUCUGGCAAGGUUAAGCAAACGCGAAGCCGUAGCGAAAGCGAGUCUGAAUAGGGCGCUUAGUCAGAUGCUGCAGACCCGAAACGAAGUGAUCUAUCCAUGAGCAAGUUGAAGCUAGUGUAAGAACUAGUGGAGGACUGAACCCAUAGGCGUUGAAAAGCCCCGGGAUGACUUGUGGAUAGGGGUGAAAGGCCAAUCAAACUUCGUGAUAGCUGGUUCUCUCCGAAAUAUAUUUAGGUAUAGCGUUGUGUCGUAAUAUAAGGGGGUAGAGCACUGAAUGGGCUAGGGCAUACACCAAUGUACCAAACCCUAUCAAACUCCGAAUACCUUAUAUGUAAUCACAGCAGUCAGGCGGCGAGUGAUAAAAUCCGUCGUCAAGAGGGAAACAACCCAGACUACCAGCUAAGGUCCCUAAAUCUUACUUAAGUGGAAAACGAUGUGAAGUUACUUAAACAACCAGGAGGUUGGCUUAGAAGCAGCCAUCCUUUAAAGAAAGCGUAAUAGCUCACUGGUCUAGUGAUUUUGCGCGGAAAAUAUAACGGGGCUAAAGUAAGUACCGAAGCUGUAGACUUGCACACAACUUAGAUUAUUUAAGUUUAGAAUAUGAGAAACUAAGUUAUGUUUAGUUAUAUUUUUACUGAUUUUUAUAGAGUAAAGAUAGAAAUAAAACUUAGUAAAAUCAGUAAAAAUAUUCUUAGGCUAAAGUUAAGUAGUUUAAGUUGUGUGUAAGUGGUAGGAGAGCGUUCUAUUUGCGUCGAAGGUAUACCGGUAAGGAGUGCUGGAGCGAAUAGAAGUGAGCAUGCAGGCAUGAGUAGCGAUAAUUAAUGUGAGAAUCAUUAACGCCGUAAACCCAAGGUUUCCUACGCGAUGCUCGUCAUCGUAGGGUUAGUCGGGUCCUAAGUCGAGUCCGAAAGGGGUAGACGAUGGCAAAUUGGUUAAUAUUCCAAUACCAACAUUAGUGUGCGAUGGAAGGACGCUUAGGGCUAAGGGGGCUAGCGGAUGGAAGUGCUAGUCUAAGGUCGUAGGAGGUUAUACAGGCAAAUCCGUAUAACAAUACUCCGAGAACUGAAAGGCUUUUUGAAGUCUUCGGAUGGAUAGAAGAACCCCUGAUGCCGUCGAGCCAAGAAAAGUUUCUAAGUUUAGCUAAUGUUGCCCGUACCGUAAACCGACACAGGUGGGUGGGAUGAGUAUUCUAAGGCGCGUGGAAGAACUCUCUUUAAGGAACUCUGCAAAAUAGCACCGUAUCUUCGGUAUAAGGUGUGGUUAGCUUCGUACUAGGAUUUACUCCGAAAGCGAAGAAACUUACAACAAAGAGUCCCUCCCGACUGUUUACCAAAAACACAGCACUCUGCUAACUCGUAAGAGGAUGUAUAGGGUGUGACGCCUGCCCGGUGCUCGAAGGUUAAUUGAUGGGGUUAGCAUUAGCGAAGCUCUUGAUCGAAGCCCGAGUAAACGGCGGCCGUAACUAUAACGGUCCUAAGGUAGCGAAAUUCCUUGUCGGUUAAAUACCGACCUGCAUGAAUGGCGUAACGAGAUGGGAGCUGUCUCAAAGAGGGAUCCAGUGAAAUUGUAGUGGAGGUGAAAAUUCCUCCUACCCGCGGCAAGACGGAAAGACCCCGUGGACCUUUACUACAGCUUGACACUGCUACUUGGAUAAGAAUGUGCAGGAUAGGUGGGAGGCUUUGAGUAUAUGACGCCAGUUGUAUAUGAGCCAUUGUUGAGAUACCACUCUUUCUUAUUUGGGUAGCUAACCAGCUUGAGUUAUCCUCAAGUGGGACAAUGUCUGGUGGGUAGUUUGACUGGGGCGGUCGCCUCCCAAAUAAUAACGGAGGCUUACAAAGGUUGGCUCAGAACGGUUGGAAAUCGUUCGUAGAGUAUAAAGGUAUAAGCCAGCUUAACUGCAAGACAUACAAGUCAAGCAGAGACGAAAGUCGGUCUUAGUGAUCCGGUGGUUCUGUGUGGAAGGGCCAUCGCUCAAAGGAUAAAAGGUACCCCGGGGAUAACAGGCUGAUCUCCCCCAAGAGCUCACAUCGACGGGGAGGUUUGGCACCUCGAUGUCGGCUCAUCGCAUCCUGGGGCUGGAGCAGGUCCCAAGGGUAUGGCUGUUCGCCAUUUAAAGCGGUACGCGAGCUGGGUUCAGAACGUCGUGAGACAGUUCGGUCCCUAUCUGCCGUGGGCGUAAGAAGAUUGAAGAGAUUUGACCCUAGUACGAGAGGACCGGGUUGAACAAACCACUGGUGUAGCUGUUGUUCUGCCAAGAGCAUCGCAGCGUAGCUAAGUUUGGAAAGGAUAAACGCUGAAAGCAUCUAAGCGUGAAGCCAACUCUAAGAUGAAUCUUCUCUAAGCUCUCUAGAAGACUACUAGUUUGAUAGGCUGGGUGUGUAAUGGAUGAAAGUCCUUUAGCUGACCAGUACUAAUAGAGCGUUUGGCUUAUCUUU
rnacentral:rRNA from 1 species